GGGGUCGACUGGUUUUGACAGCGAGACCGACUUGAUUGUAAGCAUGUAGAGCGCUGGGACAUAGCUCUUAAAUAUCAUGAUUCACACUUUUUUAAACGGCGAGAAUAACUACGCCCUAGCAGCAUAAUCUGAAUUAUAGUAAGAUGUGCCUCGGCUCGUAAGACGAGCAUGCAGGAAGUUCCUCAAAGGCCUUGGUUUACGGCACUUGAUUUAGGGACUUCGUAAAAGUAAACCUAUCCUCAAUAGGGCUUUGAUGUUGAGGAGAAACUUAAUUGAAGACAAGCGUUGCUUUGGUAGUUUCUAACCGGUGUAACGACUGAAACUAAAUGGAAACUAAACAUGUAGAAAGCGAUGAAUUCGCUCGUUUGGACGAGAGUUCGAUUCUCUCCGACUCCACCA
rfam:Nonlabens dokdonensis DSW-6, complete genome.